rnacentral:rRNA from 1 species
CCUACGGGAGGCAGCAGUGGGGAAUAUUGGACAAUGGCGGCAACCCUGAUCCAGCCAUGCCGCGUGUGUGAAGAAGGCCCUCGGGUUGUAAAGCACUUUCAGUGAGGAAGAACGCCUGGUGGUUAAUACCCAUCAGGAAAGACAUCACUCACAGAAGAAGCACCGGCUAACUCCGUGCCAGCAGCCGCGGUAAUACGGAGGGUGCGAGCGUUAAUCGGAAUUACUGGGCGUAAAGCGCGCGUAGGUGGCUUGAUAAGCCGGUUGUGAAAGCCCCGGGCUCAACCUGGGAACGGCAUCCGGAACUGUCAAGCUAGAGUGCAGGAGUGGAAGGUAGAAUUCCCGGUGUAGCGGUGAAAUGCGUAGAGAUCGGGAGGAAUACCAGUGGCGAAGGCGGCCUUCUGGACUGACACUGACACUGAGGUGCGAAAGCGUGGGUAGCAAACAGGAUUAGAUACCCGUGUAGUC